UACGUAGGGGGCAAGCGUUAUCCGGAAUUAUUGGGCGUAAAGAGUACGUAGGUGGCAACCUAAGCGCAGGGUUUAAGGCAAUGGCUCAACCAUUGUUCGCCCUGCGAACUGGGAUGCUUGAGUGCAGGAGAGGAAAGCGGAAUUCCUAGUGUAGCGGUGAAAUGCGUAGAUAUUAGGAGGAACACCAGUGGCGAAGGCAUCUCACGAAUCCGCGAUUGACGCUGAUGCACGAAAGCGUGGGUAUCAAACAGG
rnacentral:rRNA from 1 species